rnacentral:snoRNA from 1 species
UUUUCCUGUUUUUAGCUCCUUCUUGACUAAACACACCUGAUCCAGGUAAUCAGCAGGAGAAUAGGCAGGAUUUCUGGAAAACCAGGAGGAGGCUGGCCCUCGAGGCCUGGAGUUUGACACCCCUGCUUUAUAG